AAAAGACUUAGUCCUAACCUUACCGUUAAUUUCCCGCUCAACAUAUACAUGCAAGUAUCCGCACCCCAGUGCAAACGCCCCCAGCCUCUUACCAAGACAAAAGGAGCAGGCAUCAGGUACGCCCAUAACGCAGCCCAAGACACCUCGCCCAGCCACACCCCCACGGGUACUCAGCAGUAAUUAACAUUAAGCAAUGAGCGAAAGCUUGACUUAGUUAGAGCUACCAGGGUUGGUAAAUCUUGUGCCAGCCACCGCGGUCAUACAAGAGACCCAAAUUAACCGUACACGGCGUAAAGAGUGGGCUCUAACUAUCACAACCAACUAAGAUAAAACUACAACCUAAGCUGUCAUAAGCCCAAGAUGUUCAGAACCCCACCAAAAAGCUGAUCUUAGCACCUGCGACCUAUCUACCCCACGAAAGCCAGGGUACAAACUGGGAUUAGAUACCCCACUAUGCCUGGCCCUAAAUCUUGAUGCUUACCACACAAAAACAUCCGCCUGAGAACUACGAGCAUAAACGCUUAAAACUCUAAGGACUUGGCGGUGCCCUAAACCCACCUAGAGGAGCCUGUUCUAUAAUCGAUAACCCACGAUACACCCGACCCCUCCUUGCCAAAACAGCCUACAUACCGCCGUCGCCAGCCCACCUUCAUGAAAGCACAAUAGUGAGCUCAAUAGUUUACAACCACUAACAAGACAGGUCAAGGUAUAGCCCAUGGAGUGGAAGAAAUGGGCUACAUUUUCUAAGAUAGACAAACCCAACGAAAAGAGACUUGAAACCUGCCUCUAGAAGGCGGAUUUAGCAGUAAAGAGGGACAAUAGAGCCCUCUUUAAGCCGGCUCUAGGGCACGUACACACCGCCCGUCACCCUCAUCACAAGCCACACCAACAUUAACUAAAACACCAAACAGCUGAAGAUGAGGCAAGUCGUAACAAGGUAAGUGUACCGGAAGGUGCACUUAGCACAU
rnacentral:ncRNA from 1 species